UGAAAUCGAGAAUUGUGCCUCUACCUGA
rnacentral:sRNA from 1 species